CGAAAGCCUGACGGAGCAAUACCGCGUGAGGGAUGACUGCCUAUGGGUUGUAAACCUCUUUUUUCAGGGAGGAAUAAAUGACGUGUACCUGAAGAAUAAGCAUCGGCUAACUCCGUGCCAGCAGCCGCGGUAAGACGGAGGAUGCAAGUGUUAUCCGGAAUCACUGGGCGUAAAGCGUCUGUAGGUGGCUUAAUAAGUCAACUGUUAAAUCUUAAAGCUUAACUUUGAAAUCGCAGUCGAAACUAUUAGACUAGAGUAUAGUAGGGGUAAAGGGAAUUUCCAGUGGAGCGGUGAAAUGCGUAGAGAUUGGAAAGAACACCGAUGGCGAAAGCACUUUACUGGGCUAUUACUAACACUCAGAGACGAAAGCUAGGGUAGCA
rnacentral:rRNA from 1 species